rnacentral:rRNA from 1 species
CAGUCGCCACGGUAAUACGUAGGUGGCAAGCGUUGUCCGGAAUUAUUGGGCGUAAGGGGCUCGCAGGCGGUUUCUUAAGUCUGAUGUGAAAGCCCCCGGCUCAACCGGGGAGGGUCAUUGGAAACUGGGAAACUUGAGUGCAGAGGAGGAGAGUGGAAUUCCACGUGUAGCGGUGAAAUGCGUAGAGAUGUGGAGGAACACCAGUGGCGAAGGCGACUCUCUGGUCUGUAACUGACGCUGAGGAGCGAAAGCGUGGGGAGCGAACAGGAUUAGAUACCCGCGUAGUCCCUGUCUCUUAUAC